UCCGAGUUGACCCCGGCAGUCUCCCAUGAGUCCCCGGCAUCACCCGCUGGCAACAUGGAACAAGGGUUGCGCUCGUUGCGGGGCUUAACCCAACAUCUCACGACACGAGCUGACGACAGCCAUGCAGCACCUGUGCACGGACUCCGAAGAGGGGCCGAUGUUUCCACCGGCUUUCCCGUGCAUGUCAAGCCCAGGUAAGGUUCUUCGCGUUGCUUCGUAUUAAACCACAUGCUCCACCGCUUGUGCGGGCCCCCGUCAAUUCCUUUGAGUUUCAACCUUGCGAUUGUACUUCCCAGGUGGAAUACUUAAUGCGUUAGCUUCGGCACGGAGAACGUGGAAUGUUCCCCACACCUAGUGCCCACCGUUUACGGCGUGGACUAC
rnacentral:misc_RNA from 1 species